UCGUUUUAAUAUUUAACUCUAUUUGUUGUUACAUUUUUUUUAUUAUUAUUUUUUAUGUUUUUUUUUGUAGAAUAUUUAAAUUUGUUUUUUUUUUGAAAAAAUGUUUAAAAUUUGGUUUUUGAACUGGAUUAGUACCCAGGUAAUCAAAAUUUAUUAAUACGGGAGUAAAGUUGUUUUUAAACCGAAAAAAUAUUGACUGACCUUGGAUUUUUCUUUGGAACAUGUGCUUUGGAGAGUCCUCCUUUAUAGUUUUUUUUAUCGGCGCAUGUAUGAUUGUUUAGUUUUCAUAAUAUUUGUGAUGCUUUUUUUAUUUUUAAGUUAAAACAGAUAUAUAUUUGGUUUAUAAAUUGAUAGGCAUGUGUUACUAUUAUUAAAUUUUUUCGGAUAAAUUUUGUGAUUUUUUUUUGAAGUUGGAAAAGAAAGUAAUUGGAUUUUUAUGUUUU
rnacentral:rRNA from 1 species